rnacentral:rRNA from 1 species
UACGAAGGGGGCUAGCGUUGCUCGGAAUCACUGGGCGUAAAGCGCACGUAGGCGGAUCUUUAAGUCAGGGGUGAAAUCCUAGAGCUCAACUCCAGAACUGCCUUUGAUACUGAGGAUCUUGAGUUCGGGAGAGGUGAGUGGAACUGCGAGUGUAGAGGUGAAAUUCGUAGAUAUUCGCAAGAACACCAGUGGCGAAGGCGGCUCACUGGCCCGAUACUGACGCUGAGGCACGAAAGCGUGGGGGAGCAAACAGG